rnacentral:misc_RNA from 1 species
GUGCCUGCUUUGUAUUUUAACCACCUGUGCCUAUUACCUUGACGUGAUUGUUUUGCCCAUAUGCCUGAUCAUACCUGACCAUUCUGCACUCCCUGAUUCAUGAUUGAACUGAGUCCUGUACACACGAUGCCUCAGUCAAUUGCACAGUUGAAGCAGAAGCGGGGGAGAUGUUUGGCAAACUUGACCAGGACAAGGAGAAGGGCCUAUGUUCUGAUAGACAACAGAGGUAGCCGGACCCACCUGAUUUCCAUCAUCUCGGAGCUGGACAAAGCACUUCAGCAAGUGGAAGAGGCAUCUGAUAAUAUUGCAUCCAUGCUGACGUCAGAAGAUGAGCUGGAACAGGUGAAGGCAUAUCAAGCAGAAGCUGAUCGGCAACAUGAGGAGGCAGUCAGUAGAAUAGAAGGGUAUCUGAAGGACAGAAAAGACGACCCGGCAUCUGAAGUGUCCGGACAGUCACAUCAUUCUGAGUCAUCUUCGGCAGCCUCACGAGUAGCAGAGGUGGAUGCCAUGGUGAAGAAACUGGAACUGCAGCAACUGCAGAGACGACUCAAGACCGAGGAAGAGGACCAGCAGCUGCAACGAAUGCUGAAGUUACAGGAAGCUGAAGAUGCUCAGGCUGCAGCAGAGUUGCGUGCAAAGCUGUUGAAGGAAGACUCACUCAACUGGGACAGACGUGAGGAUUUCGGUGAAGCCGAAAAUGAAGAAAAUGAAGAAGCCACUGGCACUACAGCUCUUCAGGUCUUCAGGAGCGGUGGUGGUAUGCCAGGGACCCAAGCGCAGGGACCCAGCACCGGCACCGCUGCUGUUCACCAGGCCCAGGUUGGUGGUGGUGUGCCAGGGACCCAAGUGGAGCAGGGACCCAGCGCCGGCACCACUACUGCUCACCGGGCCCAGGGCAGUGGUGGCACGGGCGCUUUCCAGUCUGGACUGCAUGCUGAGGCUGUGCGUCAGAGUCUCCCUCGCCUGAACCUGCCAAAGUUUGGAGGUGAGCCAGCUGAAUGGCCAAAGUGGUCAGCUCUCUUCCGAACAAUGGUACACAACCAACCGUCCCUGACUCCAACUGAGAAGAUGGUGCACCUGCAGGCCGCCGUAACAGGUGUGGCCGAGCAGGCCAUCAGUGGGAUGCUGUUCGAUGGGAGGUUGUACGAGGAGGCCCUGAAGACGCUGGAAGAGAGGUUCGGUCAGCAGGAGGACAUCGUGCACGCCCACCUCCAGAAUAUCUUCUCCUGCCCUAACCCAUCCCACCUGGAUCCUGUGUUACUGGAAAAGCUCCAUUCAUCAAUCCACUGUGCCGUAGUCAUAUUCAAGAACUUUGGCUAUGAGGGAGAUCUCAGAAGCUAUGAAAAUCUCAGAAGGGUAGUACAGAAGCUUCCUCCGGAGUUAAAGCACGAAUGGGGAGCGCACGUCCUCGAUCUGACCCAGAGACCCAACCUCAUCGACCUAGAUGUCUGGCUUCAGAAGAAGGUGCGGGUAGCAGUCAACUAUGCGGCUGUGUCACAGCCAAGGAGGACUCCGAAAGAAAACAAGCUGAAGCCAAUGCAGAAGACUGCCCAGCAGAGGAGCACUCUGGUCACCGACGCACGGACAACAGGAAACUGUCCAUGCUGUAAGGAACGGCAUGAGGUGACUGACUGCCCUUUAUUCUUGCAGAAGGCAGUUGACGAGAGAGCGCGUUGGAUCGCCGAAGUCGGGCGCUGCUUCUACUGCCUGCAGACGGGGCACGGCGUGCGGCGUUGUCGUUCAGCAAAGCCAUGCGGAAUCGACAACUGCACGAUGAGGCACCACGCAACACUCCACGGCAGCAAGCGGGUCGGCAGACGGACCAGCCGUGAGCGCGUAGUCGCUGCAGCGUCUCUGAAAACCGAUGAUGUCACGACACUGCUGCAAGUGGUGCCGGUCACCAUCCUCGGCAGUAACGGCGAGUCCAAACAGGUUUGUGCCCUGUUGGAUCCGGGUUCGCAGACCUCGUUGGUGUCCGAAGAUGUGGUGACCGAACUGGGUCUUCAUGGAGAGCGGCAAACCCUCCGCCUGCAGAGCGUCGAGGGAUGCGGACCCCUUCAGACCUCAGUGAAGCUGAAGCUCGAAUUGAAAGCGUCAUUCGGCGAUGGCUCAAGUGUGGUAGUUCCUGAGGCAUUUUCCGUAAAGAAAAUCAACGUCACAGUACCUGAGAUCCCCCACAAGAUGCCUGACUGGAAACACGUGCAAGAUCUCGAUCUGCCAGACUGUUCCGGUAAGACGGUGGAGCUUCUUCUAGGAGCGAAUGUCCUCGAAGCUCUGCUACAACUCGAAGUGAAGCAGGGAAAGAAGGCCCAACCGGUGGCGAUCAGAACUGCCUUCGGGUGGACUCUGGCCGGUUCAGUGAAGGGAUUUAUUCCUGAGCGGAAGAGGCAGGUGAUGCUGAUCAGCAGGAAGUCACCAGACGAAGACGAGAUGUCGAAAAUGCUGCAGCAGUGGUGGACCACUGAGUCCUUCGGGUGCAAGUUUGAAGGCGAUGACGCCAAAUCUCCCGAAGACAUCAGAGCAGUGGAAGUCAUGAAAAACACCACACGUAGACUGGACAAUCGUUAUGAGACGGGGCUCCUUUGGAAGAGCGAUGAGGUACACCUGCCAGACAACAGAGCAGUAGCCGUCAGCCGCCUGCAUUCACUGGAGAAGAGCCUACUGCGGAAACCACAGAAAGCCGAGGCGUACAAGAAGGUCAUGGACGGAUACGUUGAGCUCGGGUUUGCACGCAAGCUGGAGACUGAAGAGGAGCAAGAAUCGCAUCCCAGGACCUGGUACCUCCCUCACCACGGUGUGACGAACCCAAGGAAGCCGGGGAAACUGAGGGUAGUAUUUGACGCUGCCGCAACGUGUGAAGGCGUGUCGCUGAAUGACAUGCUUCUCACGGGACCCAACCUCUUGAAGAACCUUCCAGGCAUCCUCUUAAGACUCAGAGAAGAACCAGUAGCCCUGACUGCUGACAUUGAAGCCAUGUACCACCAGGUCAGGAUCAUACAGCGAGACCAGGCGGCCCUGCGGUACCUCUGGAGAGACCUGGACGUGACGAAGAACCCAGAGUGUUACACUAUGGAAGUUGCAAUCUUCGGAGCCAAAAGCAGUCCAGCGUCGGCCAGUUUCGUCCUGCAGCAGACGGCCAGAGACUGCAGCAGCAGCACUGCAGCAGGACAAACAGCUAAAGAGGCAGCAUUGAACAGUUUCUACAUGGACGACUUCGUGCAUGCUACAGAAACUGAAGAUAAAGCUGUCGAGAUGCAGACGGAAAUGACAGAACUCCUGAGAAAAGGCGGGUUCAAGCUAACGAAGUGGACGACGAACUCGAAACGAGUCAUGGAACAGAUCAAACAGGAAGAGCGAGCUCAAGCUGGCACGACUCAGAGUGUGCUGGGCUGCACAUGGAACACGGCCGAAGACACGCUGGGAGUGAGAAGCAUCGACCCACACGUACCAGAGACGAAACGUGGAGUAGUUCGGGGAGUCGCUCGUCUCUACGACCCCCUGGGGCUGCUAUCGCCAUUCUCUCUGCAGGCCAAGAUCCUGAUCCAGCGCCUCUGGGCAGGUAACUACAGCUGGGACGAUCAGCUGGGAGAGGAGGAGUCGCGGAUCUGGAAGAAGUGGCUGAGUGAGCUCCCUUCCACGGAACUGAUGACCGUCCCGCGGUGUUUCUCAGGCACAGAGAUCAGCGCGGACUGUACCAGAGAGCUGCACAUAUUCUGUGACGCCUCUCAGCAGGCGUUCGGAGCAGUGGCGUACGUCAAGACGAUAAUGCCCGAUCGCCCCAGUAUCUGCUCCCUGGCCAUGUCAAAGACGAGAGUGGCGCCUCUCAAGCAAAUCUCCAUUGUCAGGCUCGAGCUACAAGCAGCGGUAUUGGGAGUCAGAUUGGCCAACAUGAUCCUGAAGGAGCUGAGCGUCAAGGUGGAGCGAGUUCUGUUCUGGACGGACAGUACUGUUGUGUUGCAGUAUGUGAGGAAUGACAGCCGUAGAUUCCACACCUUUGUGGCCAAUCGGGUGGCCGAAAUCCGAGAGCUGUCUCGUCCAGAUCAGUGGAGGCACGUCCCGUCCAGCUCGAAUGCAGCUGACGUCUGCUCCAGGGGAGCCUCUGCCACGGAUCUUUCCGCAGACUCGCACUGGAAGGAUGGUCCCGACUUCCUGCUGAAGGACGAAAAGCACUGGCCUGAGAACCCACCGUGCAAAGCUGUAUCGGCGGACGACCCAGAAGUAAGAACAAAGCAAGUUCUCACGACGAAGCCAGAGCUCGAAGUGACUGUGCUUCCUGACGCAGGGAAAUUCUCUUCAUGGACGCGCUACCGAAGAGUUGUAGCGUGGAUGCUACGAUUCGUGACGAACUUCAUCGCAUCAAACUGCCCGACUAAAGCUGACUGGAAGCGCCAGGGGCCGCUGUCAGCAGACGAGAUUCAGGAGGCUGAAAAGAAGAUCGUCUUAGACUGUCAGGCGCGGAGCUUCACCACAGAAGUAGCCGCUCUCCGGAACGGCAACCCAGCGGGGUCUGAGGGAAGACUGACUCAGAUGUCGCCUUUCCUGGACGGUGAUGGCGUGCUGCGCGUCGGCGGGCGCCUCAGCAAGGCUCCAGUGCCCUAUUCGACGCGUCAUCCAGCGAUCCUCCCGGCCAGAGAUGAUGUCACACGCCUGAUCGUGACGUACAACCACUCAAAGGUCCUGCACUCGGGUCAAGAAAGGACUCUGACAGAAGUACGAAGAGCUUACUGGUUCACCAAGGCUCGGUCAACCGUCCGAAGAAUCUUGCACCAGUGCACCGUAUGCAGAAACAGAAGAGCACGUCCGGAAGUCCCGAGGAUGGCUGACCUGCCAGUCGGAAGGUUCAACACUUCAAGAGCCUUCAGCACAGUCGGUGUUGACUAUUUCGGACCGAUGAUGGUGAAAAAGUUCAGAAAGACCGAGAAGCGGUACGGUGUCUUGUUUACCUGCCUUUCAACGCGCGCGGUGCGUCUAGAGAUCGCAAACACUCUAGAUACUGACAGUUUUAUAAUGGCCCUGAGGAGGUUUUCCGCGCGUCGAGGAAAGCCAGAUGCCCUGUUUUCCGACAACGGAACGAACCUGGUAGGAGGAGAGCGUGAGCUCCGGGAAUCGCUGCAGGAGUUUAAUCAGGCUCGCAUUUCGGAUCAUCUGAGCCAAGAUCACAUCAAGUGGACGUUUAUGCCUCCCGGAGCAAGUCACAUGGGCGGCGCCUGGGAAAGACUGGUCGGUAGCGUCAAGAGAGCCCUGAAGGUGACGAUCGGAUCGCAAUGUGUGAGCGACGAAGUGCUUCACACUGCGCUACUUGAAGUCGAGGCCAUGGUCAACGGACGGCCUCUUACAUAUGUUAGCCCUGAUGGCACUGACGUAGAACCACUGACACCGAACCAUCUUCUACUGGGGUGUUCAAUCGUCAACAUCUCGCCCGGAGUCUUCCAGCCCUGCGAGUUGAGCAGCAGACGGCGUUGGCGGCAGUCACAAGUUCUGGCUGACCUGUUCUGGAAGCGGUGGCGGCGGGAGUAUGUCCCAACCCUGACGAGCCGUCAGAAGUGGCUCCGCAAAACAAGAAAUCUGCAAGAAGGUGACGUCGUCCUGAUGGUUGAGAGCGAUUCGCCGAGAGGAUUCUGGCCUCUAGCCCGAGUUGUUCGAGUGUUGCCGGGCUCAGACGGCACCGUCCGAUCGGUUGAGCUGAAGGCAGCGGGGGGAGGCACUUACCACCGCCCCGUCAGCAAAGUGUGUCUGUUAGAGGAAGCUGAGUGAGUAUGGUGAUGACUGCUGAUCGCUGACAUCGUGUGCACAUGAAUCGUAUCUAUCCUAAUGUCUAUUUUCCUUAACUUCCUGUUAUUCUGUCUUUGUUCCUCCUAGGAUGUCGUUCCUAACCCUUCCUGAACUGGAGAGGGACGACUUCUGGAUGCAGCAGUCCUGGACGACGAUCUGGUGGACUGCAGGAGCCGGCAUGCCUCCAACGGCGGGGCUGGCGACCUGGCGGAGUCGGUCGCGGCGAGCUGCUGUGUGCGUCGCCUGCGGAGUCGCCGCCGGCGCGAGGUCAGCUGCGGCGAACUGGUCUGCCUGUGGAGUGGCCGCCGGCACGGGGCGGCCCCGGCGAGCUGCUGUCUGCUGUGCCUGUGUCGCCUGCGGGGUGGCCGUGGGCACGGAGUCGGCCACUGCCGAUUUAGGUCGCUCUCAGAAUAGUGACUUAGUGAUGACGCUGACUGUGCAUAUCAGGCUGGAGGCGGUGCGGGUGUUAAGUCUGACCCUGGCGGCGUCUCUGGAACUGCGGCGAGCUGCCGGUUGCGGCGGCUGGUGCUUCGGCCACGGCGCGUGGUACUGUCUGCUGAGCCAGACACGGGAAGGUCGGCUGCAGCGAGUCGACUGGUCUCCCUGGCUGCCGGCUGAGUCGUGGACAACAGUCGACAGCUGCAGUGGCAGCGAGACUGGGAUGUGUACCGUGCGCGAUCACUGACGCGUGUGUACCGUGUGCGAUCACUCAGGUGACGUUGCGUCACCGGGGGGAGGAUGUGAUGGUCCUGAAUCGCAUCGGGACCGCUUGUAGCAUAGAUGGCAGCAUUGUUCUCGGCUGUCACCGUAAGGUGCUGCCACCGCGGGUGCGCGGUCGUUUUGGGAACUGCAUUACAACCAAGCUGCGUUAAAUGAGUGAUUUAUACUAUCUCGAUUAGUAUUUCACAUUGGAAUAUCGUAGUGAAAUUAUUUGAUACGUUUUCUCCAAGUGUGACCGAUUGCAUUUGGUAAAAGGCGUAUUUAAAUUUGUUUAUUGUCGGCCGGUUUCGUCUGCCCAUACUUGUUAUUUUUGCGUGUCACCAGCUGACCGGCCUUGUGCGCAAUUCGACACGAAACCCGGCGAAGGAAGACACCUUGGAACCUACAACUAAACUACUGAUCUACGAUCUCUCAACAAACUACAGACUGCAUCUGUCUACUGUCCAUAUGUCUCUUCUAUUCUAAUGCCCAAUACAUUUAUUUCCAUUUA